UGAACAAUACCCAAGUUCCAUGUAUCC
rnacentral:piRNA from 1 species